rnacentral:rRNA from 1 species
UACGAAGGGAGCUAGCGUUGUUCGGAUUUACUGGGCGUAAAGGGCGCGCAGGCGGCGACCCAAGUCAGGCGUGAAAUCCCCGGGCUUAACCUGGGAACUGCGUUUGAAACUACAAGGCUAGAGUGUGGCAGAGGGGGGUGGAAUUCCACGUGUAGCAGUGAAAUGCGUAGAGAUGUGGAGGAACACCGAUGGCGAAGGCAGCCCCCUGGGUUAACACUGACGCUCAGGCACGAAAGCGUGGGGAGCAAACAGG